rnacentral:rRNA from 1 species
GACGAGCGCUGGCGGCGUGCUUAACACAUGCAAGUCGAACGGAAAGGCCCUGCUUUUGUGGGGUGCUCGAGUGGCGAACGGGUGAGUAACACGUGAGUAACCUGCCCUUGACUUUGGGAUAACUUCAGGAAACUGGGGCUAAUACCGGAUAGGAGCUCCUGCUGCAUGGUGGGGGUUGGAAAGUUUCGGCGGUUGGGGAUGGACUCGCGGCUUAUCGGCUUGUUGGUGGGGUAGUGGCUUACCAAGGCUUUGACGGGUAGCCGGCCUGAGAGGGUGACCGGCCACAUUGGGACUGAGAUACGGCCCAGACUCCUACGGGAGGCAGCAGUGGGGAAUAUUGCACAAUGGGCGGAAGCCUGAUGCAGCAACGCCGCGUGCGGGAUGACGGCCUUCGGGUUGUAAACCGCUUUCGCCUGUGACGAAGCGUGAGUGACGGUAAUGGGUAAAGAAGCACCGGCUAACUACGUG